AACGCACCUUGCGCUCUUUGGGAUACCAAAGAUCAUGCCUGUUUGAGUGUUAUGAAAGUAUCAACCUUGACUUGGGUUUUGUGCUCUUGUCUUGCCUUGGAAUUGGGUGCUUGCCGCUUUUACGAGUGGCUCACCUUAAUUGAUUAGCUGGAUUUGUCUCCAGAUUCUGUUUUACUUGUUGUGAUAAGUAUUUCGCUCAGGCAUCCUUCGGAGUGGCCUAGUUUUGGGAUGCUUGUCAGCUUCUCAAUACGAGUUCCACCUCGCAGAUAUAACUUGUUUAUCAAACUGGCCUCAAACCACAUAGGAGUACCCACUGAACUGAA
rnacentral:misc_RNA from 1 species